ACAGGCUGGGCAGUAUGGUUAGAGAUCUUUGGAUUAGAGGCCGGGGAGAAGGGUUAGAGAUAUUUGGGUUACAGGCUAGGCAGUAUGGUUAGAGAUCUUUGGACUAGAGGCCUUCUCCCCGGCCUCUAAUCCAAAGAUCUCUAACCAUACUGCCUAUUAUUU